UCCAACAUCAUUUUUCUCCUUUUAUUAACUUAACUAAUCCUAGCCGUCCCUUCCACUUCACUUCAGACAAUCUCAGCCAUUUAAGUCUUACGAUUAAGCCUAACCCUACCCUCUUCGUGCUCAUUUCCUCCUCCUCCUUUCUGCCGAUUGUGGAGGUCUUCUCUGCUUCCUCCUUUCCAUUUUUUUUCUCCAGCAAGCCCUUGUAGUCCCUUUCGAUUUCUUCCCCAUCUCUAGAUUUCUUUGAUUUAAAGCCUCUUUAAUUUUUUUUUUGUUUAUUUAUGUAGCUUUCUACAUCCUUUCCAUCGACCACCACUCUCCUCUCAUCUGCUUGUACUUUCUCGCCUAAUUGGCCAGCGCUCUUCUCUGUGAUUUUGGGAGUUCUUGUGGUAUCAGUAUCAGCAACAAUUCUCCUUUCGCAUAAGCAAGUCACAGGUAGCAGAGAGGACGCGCGAUGAAAUAUUAUCUAUCCUUCAAAUAUAGGCUUCCCUCGGAAAACAGCUGGGAAAUGAAGAUGUUAGUAGUUGCUCUAAUCAACUAUUGCAUAGCAAUGACAAUUGAACAUGCACUAGAAACCCAUCCCAACUCAAAUUACAAAACAUGUGCUAGAAAUAUUCGUCUCCUAUUGGGUUAUAUGGCAAUUGUGAUACUUGUUUUGAUUCAAGUUCUCAUCUGUGGUCUGUUACUUCUGAGUUUAUGGGUAUACAUGGUUAUACGAGUAGCACGCAAUCCAUAUCAAGACUUAUAUCUAUUAGUAGGUGAAGAUUUGCAGCACUCAAAGGAGCUAGCUGAAGAUGCAAUCCAAAGGCUAUUUGGCAGGCUGGAGUGAGCCACGGAAUCAAUCGUUUAGUUAGGUAUAUCAUUCUAGUAAAUCUGAGUUGUCUUUACAAUUUUAGAUCUCUAUAUAAAAUGUAUGAUUUUAGCAGUAAUUUUAAUGGUUUAAUUGUGAUAGUUUAGUCUAUAUUAAUGUAACUGAGUUGUAGAAAUAAUACUUAGUUGUAGGAUUUUGAAAGGGUUUUCAUUGAAAUUUUGAGAUUUAUUUAUGUAUUUCAUGAUUGAACAUGUUAGAAUAUUUGUUUAUUGCAUUGUUAAAUCUCCUUCUCUCAUUUGUAAUUUUCGAUGCAAAGAGAGAUUUUGAUUUAUGUGUUGUUUGUAGAGGAAAAGAUAGGGAGAGGGAGAGAAUUUUUUAUUAAUAAUUUUUUUUAUCAGCAUUAAGUACAAUUUUGAAAUAUUUUAUUACAAUAUCCGAGUUGUAGAAAUAAUUCCGAUGCUCAUCUCCUUCAGCACAACAAAAUACCCAUCUCAUUCCCAGAAUAUGUUUGAGAAUAGCAUUUGCUAUUGAAUCCAUACUCAAAACUUGUAAAUCAAAUUGUGUUGAUCUUAGUCCCAAGCUUCAGAUGGUUUCUUGACCUGCAUAUUUAAAUGGGUAGCUUGGAACUCAUAUCAAGAUCUUUACCAUUUGCUACUCCAAGCAUUUAAUGAGUUGAAGAGGCUCUCAAGAAAUGCAUUUGAAGCACUGAGGAGGGAGGCCAAUUUGAGGUGGGGAAACAACGUAAUGCAGGAACUGAAUCAUCAAUCUUCUUCAUCUGUUAAAUAUUGUUUAGUCUUAAUUAUUGCUUAUUCAUUAAUAUUAUGUAAAUGACCUUGUUCAUAUUCCUUACUGCUACUCUGACCAAAUUGGUGAUUAAUAUCUUUAUUGCUUAUUGCUACUCUGACCAAAUUGGUGAUUAAUUUCUUUGUAUUUCUUGCCCAGCACUGUCCAUGGAUUCAACAAAGUUAAGCUUCUUGUUGUAACUUAAA